CUUGACGGACCCCAGCCACAGCGGCUCGGCGUCGUCCGGGCGUUCCUGCCCGUAGACGGCCAGGAGCGACUGGGCCUC
rnacentral:antisense_RNA from 1 species